rnacentral:rRNA from 1 species
AGAGUUUGAUCCUGGCUCAGAAUCAACGCUGGCGGCGUGCCUCAGACAUGCAAGUCGAACGAUUAAGACUUCCUUCGGGAAGUGCAUAAAGUGGCGCACGGGUGAGUAACACGUAAGUAAUCUACCUUCGAGUGGGGAAUAACGUCCGGAAACGGACGCUAAUACCGCAUAAUGCAGCGGCAUCGAAAGAUGACAGUUGUUAAAGGAGCAAUUCGCUUGAAGAGGAGCUUGCGGCAGAUUAGCUAGUUGGUAAGGUAAUGGCUUACCAAGGCUACGAUCUGUAACCGGUCUAAGAGGACGGUCGGUCACACUGACACUGAAUAACGGGUCAGACUCCUACGGGAGGCAGCAGUCGGGAAUUUUGGGCAAUGGGCGAAAGCCUGACCCAGCAACGCCGCGUGAAGGAUGAAGUAUUUCGGUAUGUAAACUUCGAAAGAAUAGGAAGAAUUAAUGACGGUACUAUUUAUAAGGUCCGGCUAACUACGUGCCAGCAGCCGCGGUAAUACGUAGGGACCAAGCGUUGUUCGGAUUUACUGGGCGUAAAGGGCGCGUAGGCGGCAUGACAAGUCACUUGUGAAAUCUCCGGGCUUAACUCGGAACGGUCAAGUGAUACUGUCGCGCUAGAGUGCGGAAGGGGCAAUCAGAAUUCUUGGUGUAGCGGUGAAAUGCAGAUAUCAAGAGGAAUACCUGAGGUGAAGACGGGUUGCUAGGCCGACACUGACGCUGAAGCGCCGAAGCAAGGGGAGCAACGGGAUUAGAUACCCGGGUAGUCC